rnacentral:rRNA from 1 species
AUACGGAGGGUGCAAGCGUUGUUCGGAAUUACUGGGCGUAAAGUGCGCGUAGGCGGUCUGUUAUGUCAGAUGUGAAAGUCCUCGGCUCAACCGGGGAAGUGCAUUUGAAACUGGCAGACUUGAGUACUGGAGGGGGAGGUGGAAUUCCCGGUGUAGAGGUGAAAUUCGUAGAUAUCGGGAGGAAUACCGGUGGCGAAGGCGACCACCUGGCCAGAUACUGACGCUGAGGUGCGAAAGCGUGGGGAGCAAACAGGAUUAGAAACCCCAGUAGUCC